rnacentral:lncRNA from 1 species
AUAAGAUGGAACACAGGGCACCCAAUGGAGAAGCUAGAGAAAGCACCCAAGGACCUGAAGGGGUCUGCAACCCUAUAGGUGGAACAACAAUAUGAACUAACCUCUUUUUUCCACUGGAUGGUUUUAGCUCCCUUGUCGAAGAUCCAGUGACCAUAGGUGUGUGGGUUCAUCUCUGGGUCUUCAAUUCUGUUCCAUUGGUCUACUUGUCUGUCACUUGGGUACAGAAACCAAUUAUCUUUGACAGACACUCUCAACCUCGGAAUGUACCAGUCCAGUAAUUCUACAAAAGUAUUUGACAGUUUCUUAUUUUAAAACUAAGCUAAAUACAUACUGAUAUAACAUUGCCAUUGAACGCCUAGGCAUUUAUUUCAGAGAUUUAACAAAAAAAAGCAGCUGAUAUCUACACAAGUGCCUGUAAGCAAAUGUUCAAGACAACUCUGUGCCUAAGAGCUCUGAACCAGAAACCAGACUAG